rfam:Triticum aestivum genome assembly, contig: Triticum_aestivum_CS42_TGACv1_scaffold_485949_6AS
AUACCUUUCUCGGCCUUUUGGCUAAGAUCAAGUGUAGUAUAUGUUCUUAUCAGUUUAAUAUCUGAUAUGUGGGCUACACGCCCACAACGAUAUUAAAUUUAUUUUUUAUGAGGGAGGGCCCACCAUAGUAGCUUGCUGCAGGGGCUCUCACGUGUCGCCUAGGUGUUGCACUAUUGCCUAGGCCUGGCGCACUCCAA